UACGUAGGGUGCAAGCGUUAAUCGGAAUUACUGGGCGUAAAGUGUGCGCAGGCGGCAGAGCAAGUCGAGUGUGAAAUCCCCGGGCUUAACCUGGGAAUGGCGUUUGAAACUACGGAGCUGGAGUGUGGCAGAGGGAGGUAGAAUUCCACGUGUAGCGGUGAAAUGCGUAGAUAUGUGGAGGAAUACCGAUGGCGAAGGCAGCCUCCUGGGCCAACACUGACGCUCAUGCACGAAAGCGUGGGGAGCAAACAGG
rnacentral:rRNA from 1 species